GGGGAUGUAGCUCAGUGGUAGAGCACUUGCCUAUCAUGCAUGAGAUCCUAAGGUUGAUCCCCA
rnacentral:tRNA from 1 species